UAAGGCCUUAGCUUAAUUAAAGCGGUUGAGUUGCAGUCAGUAGAUGCGGACUAAAGUUUUGCAGGUCUUU
rnacentral:tRNA from 1 species